rnacentral:rRNA from 1 species
AACGAACGCUGGCGGCGUGCCUAACACAUGCAAGUCGAACGAGAAAGGGGCUUCGGCUCCGAGUAAAGUGGCGCACGGGUGAGUAACACGUGGGUAACCUGCCUCUAAGAUUGGGAUAACUCGUCGAAAGAUGAGCUAAUACCGAAUAAGACCACAGUUCCCGCGGGAACAGGGGUCAAAGGUAGCCUCUGCUUGCAAGCUAUCACUUAGAGAUGGGCCUGCGCACCAUUAGCUAGUUGGUAGGGUAACGGCCUACCAAGGCAAAGAUGGUUAGCUGGUCUGAGAGGAUGAUCAGCCACACUGGAACUGAGACACGGUCCAGACUCCUACGGGAGGCAGCAGUGGGGAAUAUUGCGCAAUGGGCGAAAGCUUGACGCAGCAACGCCGCGUGAGUGAUGAAGGCCUUCGGGUCGUAAAGCUCUGUCGGGAGGAACGAAUGCCCCUGAGGUUAACAGCCUCGGGAGGUGACGGUACCUUCAAAGGAAGCACCGGCUAACUCUGUG